rnacentral:rRNA from 1 species
GACGUAGGGGGCCAGCGUUGUUCGGAAUUACUGGGUGUAAAGGGUGCGUAGGCGGCGCGGUAAGUCGGGGUGUGAAAAUCUCGGGGCUUACUCCGAAACUGCAUUCGAUACUGCCGUGCUUGAGGACUGGAGAGGAGACUGGAAUUUACGGUGUAGCGGUGAAAUGCGUAGAUAUCGUAAGGAAGACCAGUGGCGAAGGCGGGUCUCUGGACAGUUCCUGACGCUGAGGCACGAAGGCCAGGGGGAGCAAACGGG